AGCGUAGGCGGGACCGUAAGUUAGGAGUUUAAUACCCAGGCUUAACCUGGGACCUGCUUCUAAUACUGCGGUUCUUGAGUAAGGAAGAGGGAGAUGGAAUUCCAGGUGUAGCGGUGGAAUGCGUAGAUAUCUGGAAGAACACCAGCAGCGAAGGCGGUCUCCUGGUCCUAUACUGACGCUGAGGCUCGAAAGUUAGGGGAGCAAACAGGAUUAGAUACCCUGGUAGUCCUAACCGUAAACUAUGGAUACUAGAUGUUGGGGGAGUCAAUCUUUCCAGCGUCGUCGCUAACGCAAUAAGUAUCCCGCCUGGGAAGUACGCCCGCAAGGGUGAA
rnacentral:rRNA from 1 species